GACGUAGGGAGCAAGCGUUGUCCGGAAUUACUGGGCGUAAAGAGCUCGUAGGCGGGUUCGUAAGUCUUAGAGUAAAUCUCACGGCUCAACCGUGGGGCCUUCUGAGAUACUGCGAAUCUUGAGGAUGUCAGAGGAAAGUAGAAUUCCCGGUGUAGCGGUGAAAUGCGUAGAUAUCGGGAGGAAUACCAGUGGCGAAGGCGACUUUCUGGGACAUUCCUGACGCUGAGGAGCGAAAGCGUGGGGAGCAAACGGGAUUAGAUACCCCGGUAGUCCACGCUGUAAACGAUGGAUACUAGGUGUGGGAGGUAUCGACUCCUUCCGUGCCGGCGUUAACACAUUAAGUAUCCCGCCUGGGGAGUACGGUCGCAAGGCUGAA
rnacentral:rRNA from 1 species